UGCCUAUGAUGAGUAGCCAUGCUAAUACCGAUUUUAUCAGGCUGGGUCACUGAUCUGGCUCUGGGUGAAGAUGAGUUAAACUGUCUUCUCAUGGUGAGACCUGAGGUAG